rnacentral:lncRNA from 1 species
UGUCAGAAUCAAAUACCUGAUUAUCAUCAGCAAUUUCAUCUCCUGGACCUAUUACAUAAUCUUCUAUAGAUGUCUCUCCUCCGAGGCCAAGGCCUUCUACUAGCAAAGCUAACUCACCUGUGGGUCAAAGAUAGAUACUUAACUUCCAAAAUAGUUAUGACAGCGCAAACCGUAUAUGAUGUUAUGAAUACUAUAAAAACCAAUCUUGACUUUCUCCCAACAAUUCGAGUAAUUAGAAUGCAACGGUUCUUGAUAGACAGUAACUUGAUUCAACA